rnacentral:rRNA from 1 species
UACGAAGGGGGCUAGCGUUGCUCGGAAUUACUGGGCGUAAAGCGCACGUAGGCGGCUUCUUAAGUCGGUGGUGAAAUCCUGGAGCUCAACUCCAGAACUGCCUUCGAUACUGGGAAGCUCGAGUCCGGGAGAGGUGAGUGGAACUGCGAGUGUAGAGGUGAAAUUCGUAGAUAUUCGCAAGAACACCAGUGGCGAAGGCGGCUCACUGGCCCGGUACUGACGCUGAGGCGCGAAAGCUAGGGGAGCGAACGGG